rnacentral:rRNA from 1 species
UACGUAGGGUGCAAGGCGUUGUCCGGAAUUACUGGGCGUAAAGAGCGUGUAGGCGGCUGGGUAGGUCUGCUGUGAAAACUCGAGGCUCAACCUCGAGACGUCGGCGGAAACCCUCCAGCUAGAGUCCGGAAGAGGAGAGUGGAAGUUCCUGGUGUAGCGGUGAAAUGCGCAGAUAUCAGGAAGAACACCCGUGGCGAAAGCGGCUCUCUGGGACGGUACUGACGCUGAGACGCGAAAGCGUGGGGAGCGAACAGG